UUGCUCUGGUUCGAUUUUCUCUCCUGACUAGUCUCCCUCUUCCUCGGAUUUUUGGUUCUUGUUUUUGGUUUUUGAACACAUCUUGCUUUCCAGCCUCAAUUUUGUUUUCUGGUUCUUGAAACAGGGUCAGUUGAUUGUUUUGGGUUCAAUUUUUGUUUUUUUUUUAAUUUAAAUAUUUGUUCUGGGUUUUGAGAUGUGGUUCUGCCAUAAAGUUUCAAAAUUCCUUAUCUUCAAUUUUGACAAUGGUUCUGCGAUGUUGGGUCUAAAAACAUUCACUUGGUUAUAUGAGUAUGUGUUUUGAGUCUAAUUUUAUGAGAGUUUAAUUUUAAUUCAGCUUAGAAAAGCAACAACAAUCUAUUUCCCGUUCUCUUGAUGUUUGUUAAGCUUGAUUUUAAAAAAGAAAAGGCAAGUCCAGCUUGGAGGUUACUUGGCACAUGUAAUCAAAUUAGUCCAGGAGACAGAAUCAGUCAAUUCUAUUAUGAAGUUUUUAAUUACAGAGUCGGAGAGUGAACAUUCAUAACAAUGCAUUCUACGUCGAGGAGAAGCUGCUUCAAUCAGAAUUAGAAGCAAUGCGUGAUUGUACCCCGUUAUUUGCUCGUCAUUAGAUUGUAAAGUGUUCACACUUGCUUCCCCCCACCCCCCCUUUACUCUAUUCUUUUAAUGUCCACGCUCUUUUUGAUCCAUGGUUGAUAUUAGGGGACAUGGGACAUCUCUGAAAUCUUGCAUGCUUCUAUACCCUACCAUUCCUAAUAAUGUUAAGGGUGAUUUGUACUUUAUAGUUUUGUGUUCAAUUGUUCAUAGCUCAAUGCUUCUACCUCCUCUUCUUUCUGACCUUGAUUUGAAUUGUCAAAGCAAUUUUGUUUAAUAUAUCAUAUUCAGUUAAUUUAGUUGAUUGAAUAUUAAUGGUUAAUGACUUGUUUGAAAUAUUGUUUUAAUAGCUUCCAACUACAGUUGCUAAAGUGAUUUCCUAGUUUAGGUAAGGAACACAAAGGCGAUCAAUAGAACUGGGCAGUUAACAGAUUAUAAGUUAGUUCCAAGCUGAAAUUACUUACCAUUAGCUGGUUCAGAGGCCAAGUUUCUAAGAAGAGUGGCUUUCUUGAAGCAUAACCUUUGUGUCACAGUUUAUAAAUCUGAUGAGAUGCAUCUUGAAGGAGGGUUCUCGAAUCAAAACUAACAUAUUGGAAAGGGUUUGGCUACUUGGGUUCAGCAAAAUCACUCAUUAGAAGAAGCUGAUAUUGUUCUUUGGUUAGUUUACUUGAUUCUACUUCUGUGAGAUAGUAUCUGCUAUGAUAAUGAUUGAGAAAUUCUUAAGUAAAAUCAGGUUUGCAAAAGAUUGGUUGUCUAAGCCAUUAAUCAGGAAGAGCCAAUGCACAAAUGUCUAGGAUAUCUUUUUGUCAAACCCACCUCUGACAUGCAUAUCUAUUUAUGAUAUUCUAGGUCUUUCAAUCCAUUGUAGACAUGAUUCGCCUAAGAAUCGCUAGUGCACUCUAUCAAAAUUCCACACAACUCUCACAUAUGUUACCAAUUAAGCUGAUCCAGCCUUGAACAUUUUUAAGUACACCUGACUUUAGAGAUGCAAGUACAAUUUAGCAUCUUUCAAAACAAAACUAAUAAUACUUUUGUUCAUGAUGCAGCAGCAUGGUUUUUUCAAUUGCUCACCAGCAGUGGAUGUACCACCUAGCACAAGUGAUGUGGAAGACAAGGAGGGUAGAUAUUGGCCAAUGGUUUAUUGAGCCAUUAAUUACACAGAUAUUGGGAUGGAAAUGGGAUGUAGCAAGAACUAUGCUAAAGUUUCUUUGUUUCUUGUACUUAAUAAAAAAUAUUGUAGCUUGAGUUAUGGAAGCAAAUUUCAUUUAUGAUUGUAUGUGUUUUCAUAGCCACUAGCCACUUAUUGGGAAUUAAAGCUUUGAUGGCUGUCAACUUGAUCAGCAGAAAGUGAGUUAUGUGAACAACAAACCAUUUUCUUGUAGAUCGUCAAGAGAUUUCAC